rnacentral:rRNA from 2 species
UUGACCUCGGAUCAGGUAGGAAUACCCGCUGAACUUAAGCAUU